CGUGUGAAUCUGCCCUCAGGUUCGGAAUAACAGCGAGAAAUUGCUGCUAAUACCGGAUGAUAUCGCGAGAUCAAAGAUUUAUCGCCUGAGGAUGAGCCCGCGUAGGAUUAGCUAGUUGGUGUGGUAAAGGCGCACCAAGGCGACGAUCCUUAGCUGGUCUGAGAGGAUGAUCAGCCACACUGGGACUGAGACACGGACCAGACUCCUACGGGAGGCAGCAGUGGGGGAUAUUGGACANUGG
rnacentral:rRNA from 1 species